rnacentral:rRNA from 1 species
UGCCUCAGUAACGGCGAGUGAAGCGGCAACAGCUCAAAUUUGAAAUCUGGCUCUUUCAGGGUCCGAGUUGUAAUUUGUAGAAGAUGCUUCGGGUGUGGUUCCGGUCUAAGUUCCUUGGAACAGGACGUCAUAGAGGGUGAGAAUCCCGUAUGUGACCGGCUACCUUCGCUCAUGUGAAGCUCUUUCGACGAGUCGAGUUGUUUGGGAAUGCAGCUCAAAAUGGGUGGUAAAUUUCAUCUAAAGCUAAAUAUUGGCCAGAGACCGAUAGCGCACAAGUAGAGUGAUCGAAAGAUGAAAAGCACUUUGGAAAGAGAGUUAAAUAGUACGUGAAAUUGUUGAAAGGGAAGCGCUUGCAAUCAGACUUGCACGCAGUUGAUCAUCCGGUGUUCUCACCGGUGCACUCUGCUGCGUUCAGGCCAGCAUCGGUUCUGGUGGUUGGAUAAAGGCCUUGGGAAUGUAGCUCCUUUCGGGGAGUGUUAUAGCCCUCGGUGCAAUGCAGCCUACCGGGACCGAGGACCGCGCUUCGGCUAGGAUGCUGGCGUAAUGGUUGUAAGCGACCCGUCUUGAAACACGGACCAAGGAGUCUAACAUCUAUGCGAGUGUUUGGGUGUCAAACCCAUACGCGUAAUGAAAGUGAACGGAGGUGAGAACCCUUAAGGGUGCAUCAUCGACCGAUCCUGAUGUCUUCGGAUGGAUUUGAGUAAGAGCAUAGCUGUUGGGACCCGAAAGAUGGUGAACUAUGCGUGAAUAGGGUGAAGCCAGAGGAAACUCUGGUGGAGGCUCGCAGCGGUUCUGACGUGCAAAUCGAUCGUCAAAUUUGCGCAUAGGGGCGAAAGACUAAUCG